AAGAGUCACGCAGCACACAGCGAGAGCGCAGCCCAGCUACUCAGGAGCGCCAUUCUCAGGUCUUGGAGAAGUGCGUCCAUGAACGAGUUAAAGUUCCUCCACUCUCUCUGAGACGGGGCUGCAAAACUUGAACCGGAGACUGCGCAUGACAGGGAUGAGCGUCAUGUACUGUCCCCCCCCCACCCCGCACACACCUCCGUUCAGCCCUGUCUAGCUGCAGAUCAGGUUGUUGCUUUUUCUGGUGCUCUUCAACUGCUGUAAAUAAUUACUCCCCCCACCCGCCCAUCUGACUUUAGCCAGGCUGGGUGGGAGGAAAGGUGCUGCUCAGCUGGCGUUUUGUUUUUCUCAGUCAUGUCCGCAACAGACAGCCCCACUGAAUGAACAGAGCUUCGUCUGAACAGCCUAUCUCCCCUCAUGAAUACCAAGCAGAGACGCUAAGCGGACAGAGUCGAAGGCUGCAACGCGCCUUCGACUGGCCCCAUCCGGACUGGGCCUCCUCACCUUAUGCCCCCCUCCUCUUGGGAGCGAGUCGGGACCACAAGUGUGGCACCUCUCAGCUCCCGAACCAGCUCUUCCCCCUGGCUGGAAGGCAGUUCACAAGCACAAACACGCGCUGGAACUCCCACAGGAAACCGUAGGCGACAGAACCAAGAAGUGCAAGGGAACAGCGCGGGGCAGAGCCUGAGAUCAUAGAUUGACCUCAGGCCAGGAGAGAGUGGAGUUUUUACUCGCAGAUCUGGACGAUUUCAUCUCUGCAAGAGUUGCCAAGUUUCUUUGCAUUGAAAGUAAACUUCGCAGAAGAUAUGUUGAGAUGGUAGAUGUGGGCAUAGCACAUUAGGAGAGUGAACAGAUUUUAUUUAUUUGAAACUUUCCUAUGUAUGAUACUGCAGCUUUUAUUGUAUUGCUCCUAUUGUAGUUUCUUUUGAUGCUACUGAUGUGAUGAGAUGUAUAGUUUUCUGUGUGGUUCUGUUGUAAUGAGAAGCCGUUGGCUGUAAUAACAAUAAAGUAAAGUAAGCACUCCA